UAAGGAAUAUUGGUCAAUGGAGGCAACUCUGAACCAGCCAUGCCGCGUGCAGGAAGAAGGCCCUAUGGGUCGUAAACUGCUUUUGAACAAGAGAAAACCCCGGUACGUGUACUGGGUUGAUAGUAUUGUUAGAAUAAGCAUCGGCUAACUUCGUGCCAGCAGCCGCGGUAAGACGAAGGAUGCAAGCGUUAUCCGGAUUCAUUGGGUUUAAAGGGUGCGUAGGCGGACUGAUAAGUCAGUGGUGAAAUCUCUCGGCUUAACCGAGAAACUGCCAUUGAUACUGUUAGUCUAGAGUACAGAUGAUGUGGGCGGAAUAUGACAUGUAGUGGUGAAAUACUUAGAUAUGUCAUAGAACACCGAUUGCGAAGGCAGCUCACAAAACUGUAACUGACGCUGAGGCACGAAAGUGCGGGGAUCAAACAGGAUUAGAUACCCAAGUAGUACCCUGAGCGGGCUGGCAAGGCGCAU
rnacentral:rRNA from 1 species